rnacentral:lncRNA from 1 species
CUCCCGACGCCGAGACCAUGGGGGCUCAGCUAAGCGGCGGCCGCGGCGCCCCGGAGCCUGCGCAAACCCAGCCCCAGCCCCAGCCCCAGCCUGCGGCGCCGGAGGGCCCGGAACAGCCCCGGCAUCCGCCCCAGCCCCAGCCCCAGCCCCAGCCCCAGCCCCAGCCCGAGCCCAGCCCGUGGGGGCCGCUGGACGACGUGCGCUUCCUCAUCGCCUGCACUUCCUGGUACUGACGGCGUCCUCCGCAGGAUGUCGCCCGUCUGUCCGCCGUCCCCUGUGGUUCUUGCCUGCCUUGUCUCCUCUCCCCACGUCCCUGCGUCUCUUACACCCCCUCCCACCCGAGGCUCCCCAGAGAUAGCAGAGAAUUCGAAGAGGUCGCCGGGGACUGGAAAGAAGUCCCGGCAGGGCCGCCUUCGCAGUCUACACCCCAGCCUGCUUCCCAGCCUACACCCAGACCCAGCUCAGACCUUCGUGACCACCCCAUCCCUUUCUCCGGCUGGCUGGGUCGGGGGCAUCCCUCUCUGUCGCUGGCUUCCAGAGGCAGGACAGGCCUCCUGGUCAUGUCCCAGGUCAUGGAGAAGCCCGUGCCACAGUGACCCUCCCCAUACUCCUGGGGGGGCUGCUCUCCAUCCUGGAUCGUAAGGAGGCAUCAUCAGGCUGUGUUCCUGGAACCCCAAUAACCCUGGGCCCCCAGGGCCAGCCUGUUGUAGAGGGAGGCUAUCUGACCGCCGGUCUGGCAGAGGAGAUGGGUGGGCAGCUCCCAGACACCCCAAAGGACCCGGUUCUCUUCCCAGAGCGUCCUAAGGUUACUCUUGGAACCUGAUCUUUGUUCCCUCAUCCCAGGGAAAUGACACACUCUGUAUUUCUGUUUUAUUUAGAAAUGAUUUAAAAAACAUUAUACAAAGGC